rnacentral:rRNA from 1 species
GAUGAACGCUGGCGGCGUGCCUAACACAUGCAAGUCGAACGGAGAUUACGGACGGAAGUUUUCGGAUGGAAGCCUGUAAUUCUUAGUGGCGGACGGGUGAGUAACGCGUGGGCAACCUGCCCUAUACAGGGGGAUAGCAGCUGGAAACGGCUGGUAAGACCGCAUAAGUCGGUUAAAUCGCAUGAUUUGAUCGGGAAAUGAGCAAUCAGGUAUAGGAUGGGCCCGCGUCCGAUUAGCCAGUUGGCAGGGUAAAAGCCUACCAAAGCGACGAUCGGUAGCCGGGCUGAGAGGUCGGACGGCCACAUUGGGACUGAGACACGGCCCAAACUCCUACGGGAGGCAGCAGUGGGGGAUAUUGCACAAUGGAGGAAACUCUGAUGCAGCGACGCCGCGUGAGUGAAGAAGUAUUUCGGUAUGUAAAGCUCUAUCAGCAGGGAAGAUGAUGACGGUACCUGACUAAGAAGCCCCGGCUAACUACGUG